GACGAACGCUGGCGGCGUGCUUAACACAUGCAAGUCGAACGGUAAGGCCCUUCGGGGUACACGAGUGGCGAACGGGUGAGUAACACGUGGGUGAUCUGCCCUGCACUUUGGGAUAAGCCUGGGAAACUGGGUCUAAUACCGAAUAUGACCAUGGACUUCACGGUUUGUGGUGGAAAGCUUUUGCGGUGUGGGAUGGGCCCGCGGCCUAUCAGCUUGUUGGUGGGGUAAUGGCCUACCAAGGCGACGACGGGUAGCCGGCCUGAGAGGGUGACCGGCCACACUGGGACUGAGAUACGGCCCAGACUCCUACGGGAGGCAGCAGUGGGGAAUAUUGCACAAUGGGCGCAAGCCUGAUGCAGCGACGCCGCGU
rnacentral:rRNA from 1 species